rnacentral:rRNA from 1 species
UACGUAGGGGGCAAGCGUUGUCCGGAUUUAUUGGGCGUAAAGAGCGUGUAGGCGGCCUGACAGGUCUGCUGUGAAAAACUCGAGGCUCAACCUCGAGAUGUCGGCGGAAACCGUCUGGCUAGAGUCCGGAAGAGGAGAGUGGAAUUCCUGGUGUAGCGGUGAAAUGCGCAGAUAUCAGGAGGAACACCGGUGGCGAAGGCGGGUCUCUGGGCCGAUACUGACGUGAGGAGCGAAAGCGUGGGGGAUCAAACAGGA